AAAAAAAAAAAAAAUUACU
rnacentral:misc_RNA from 1 species